GCCAGUGUGGCGUUGUGGUUUGAGUGUUAGACUACGACUCUGGAGAGCAGGGUUCGAUUCCCAGCUUGGCCA